GCCUGGCUAGCUCAGUCGGUACAGCAUGAGACUCUUAAUGUCAGGGUUGUGGGUUCGAGCCCCACGUUGGGCG
rfam:Danio rerio chromosome 4, GRCz11 reference primary assembly.